UACCUAGUUGAUCCUGCUAGUAGUCAUAUGCUUGUCUCAAAUUGUAAAAUUGCGAAUGACUCAUUAAAUCAGUUAUAGUUUGUUUGAUGGUAUUUGCUACUCGGAUAAGCGUAGUAAUUAUAGAGCUAAUACAUGCAACAAACCUCGACUUUUGGAAAGGAUUCAUUUAUUAAAUAAAAAGGUUGACACAGAUUUUGCAGGUUGCUUUGAUGAUUUAUGAUAACUUGAUGGAUUGCACGGCCAUUGUACCGAUGACGCAUCAUUCAAAUUUCUACCCUAUCAACUUUCGAUGGUAGGAUAGUGGCCUACUAUGGUGGUGAUGGGUGAUGGAGAAUUAGGGUUCAAUUCUAGAAAGGGACCUUAAGAAACGGCUACCACAUCCAAGGAAGGCAGCAGGUGCGAAAAAUUACUCAAUCUUUGACACGGGGAGGUAGUGACAAUAAAUAAAACUAUCGGGCUCUUUGAGUAAGGUAAUUAGAAUGAGUACAAUCUAAAUCCCUUAACGAGGAUCCAUUGGAGGGCAAGCAGCUGCGGUAAUUCCAGCUCCAAUAUUGUAUAUUUAAGUUGUUGUAGUUAAAAAGCUCAUAGUUGGAUCUUGGGUUGGUCGACUAGUCUGCCUCACGGUGUGCACCGAUUAGCUUGUCCCUUCUACUAGCAAUACACUCCUAGCCUUAAUUGGCCGGGUCAUGCCUCCUGUGCUAUUACUUUGAAGAAAUUGGAGUGCUCAAAGCAAGUCUACACUUUGUAUACAUUAGCAUGGGAUGACAUCAUAGGAUUCCGGUUCUAUUAUGUUGGCAUUCGGGAUCGGAGUAAUGAUUAACAGGGACAAUCGGGGGCAUUCGUAUUUCUUAGUUAGAGGUUAAAUUCUUGAAUUUAUGAAAGACCACCAACUAUGAAAGCAACCACCCACGCAUGGCUGCGUUGGUUGAGGCGUACCUCCUGAUUUGGCACCAAGUCAGGGGUUCAACUCCCUAAGUUGUCACGACUCUCAAAGUAGUUCUGUGAUUUAAGUAGGGGGCUCCGACGGUAGGUUGCUGGGCUAGUCUCCCCCAAGGUAUAGUCGGUGCUGUGCUUCUGAAUGUGAGCUAAGUCGGAUCCUUGGCAUAAAAAAAUAAUAAUAAUAAUUGUGAAAGCGUUUGCCAAGAAUAUUUUCAUUAAUCAAGAACGAAAGUUAGGAGCUCGAAGAUGAUCAAAUACCGUCUUAGUCUCAACCAUAAAAGAUGCCAACUAAGGAUCGGCGAAUGUUGCUUUUAAGACUCUGACGGCACCUUCUUAGAAAUCAAAGUUUUUGGGUUUCGGUGGGAGUAUGGUUGCAAGGUUGAAACUUAAAGGAAUUGAAAUAGUAUUAGGAUUGAACCUAA
rnacentral:ncRNA from 1 species